rnacentral:lncRNA from 1 species
GUGAACAUGAAACUUGUUAAAAGCGAUCCAUGUUCAGGAAAUAACUUGAAUUCUUUAGACUCAGUUUCGAUUUUUUUUUUUUUUUGUACCAGGGAAUCGAACUCGGGACCUUGCAUGUAUUAGGCAAAUACUCUAUUCCUGAGCUGCAACCCCUGCCCAGUUCUGAUUUUUUAAACUGGGACCCUCAGAGCUGGUGAAAGAUGAAGAGAGCAGACCUGACAGAUAGCCUAACUGCUUGGAAGAGCUCUCCUGCAUGCUGGACCUGGCAGACAGAAACUCACAGAACCAUUACAAAGGACUCCUUUUUCCUUCUUCAUGAUUCCACGUCCCCUGAGACAGAGAAUGCUGUUUCCAGCCCUACCCGC